rnacentral:rRNA from 1 species
UCAGGCCUAACACAUGCAAGUCGAGGGGCAGCACAGAGAUAGCUUGCUAUCUUGGGUAGCGACCGGCGCACGGGUGAGUAACGCGUAUCCAACCUGCCCAUUACUCGGGGAUAGCCUUGCGAAAGUAAGAUUAAUACCCGAUGUUGUUUGAUUGCCGCAUGACGAUCAAACCAAAGAUUUAUUGGUAAUGGAUGGGGAUGCGUGACAUUAGGUAGUAGGUGAGGUAACGGCUCACCUAGCCUACGAUGCCUAGGGGUUCUGAGAGGAAGGUCCCCCACACUGGAACUGAGACACGGUCCAGACUCCUACGGGAGGCAGCAGUGAGGAA